CAUUAUGUGCUUGCACAUUUUGGACGUCGACCGGCGCACGGGUGAGUAUCGCGUAUCCAACCUGCCCUUUACUUGGGGAUACCCCGUUGAAAGACGGCCUAAUACCCGAUGUAAUUCAUUGAUGGCAUCAGAUAUGAAUAAAAGAUUUAUCGGUAAAGGAUGGGGAUGCGUCUGAUUAGCUUGUUGGUGAGGUAAAGGCUCACCAAGGCGACGAUCAGUAGGGGUUCUGAGAGGAAGGUCCCCCACAUUGGAACUGAGACACGGUCCAAACUCCUACGGGAGGCAGCAGUGAGGAAUAUUGGUCAAUGGGCGCAAGCCUGAACCAGCCAAGUAGCGUGCAGGAAGACGGCCCUAUGGGUUGUAAACUGCUUUUAUACGAGAAUAGUUUGAUGCACGUGUGCGUUAUUGCAUGUAUCGUAUGAAUAAGGACCGGCUAAUUCCGUGCCAGCAGCCGCGGUAAUACGGAAGGUCCAGGCGUUAUCCGGAUUUAUUGGGUUUAAAGGGAGUGUAGGCGGUUUGUUAAGCGUGUUGUGAAAUUUAGAUGCUCAACAUUUAACUUGCAGCGCGAACUGUCAGACUUGAGUACACGCAACGUAUGCGGAAUUCAUGGUGUAGCGGUGAAAUGCUUAGAUAUCAUGAAGAACUCCGAUUGCGAAGGCAGCAUACGGGAGUGUAACUGACGCUUAAGCUCGAAGGUGCGGGUAUCGAACAGGAUUAGAUACCCUGGUAGUCCGCACAGUAAACGAUGGAUGCCCGCUGUUAGCGCCUGGCGUUAGCGGCUAAGCGAAAGCAUUAAGCAUCCCACCUGGGGAGUACGCCGGCAACGGUGAAACUCAAAGGAAUUGACGGGGGCCCGCACAAGCGGAGGAACAUGUGGUUUAAUUCGAUGAUACGCGAGGAACCUUACCCGGGCUUGAAUUGCAGAGGAAUUAUUUAGAGAUAAAUAUGCCCUUCGGGGUCUCUGUGAAGGUGCUGCAUGGUUGUCGUCAGCUCGUGCCGUGAGGUGUCGGCUUAAGUGCCAUAACGAGCGCAACCCCUUUUCUUAGUUGCCAUCAGGUAAUGCUGGGCACUCUGGGAACACUGCCACCGCAAG
rnacentral:rRNA from 1 species